UUGGGGGAGGAAGGGGGAGGAGCUGGGCUUCUGCAGCUGCUGGAUUCAGAGAGAAUAAGGAGUUUUAUACCUUCCUUCCUCUUCAGUGGUGGUACUUUUGACAAGGAGAAAGUGAAGCUUGUAGAAAGGAGUUUGAAAAAUGCAAGAAGAAGAUGCAAGACCAAACAUUCCAUUUGGAACACCAAGGUUCAAACAUCAAAGAAAGGACCCAAAGUUCUGAGGAUUGUUGCUUAUUCUGACCUCUGCAUCCAGCAAGUCUGAGGGUUCCAACUAGAAACUUGAGUUUGGUUACCAAUUAUAUCCUGGUGCCAUUUAGUCGCCUUUAGGCAAGGCUUUGGACACUUCUUUGCCACAGUUUGCUCCAUCUGUUAAAUGGGAGAAUGUAACUUCUUUUCUGAAUCCCAACAAUUUUUAUAGCAUGAUUAUAUAUGAAUGCUUGAUUUUCUCAGAAAUGUUCAGAAAAUUAUAUCUGUGCAUUAGAAUCUCAUCUCUCAUGUCAAUUUGCUGUGUGACUAAGAAAAACACAAGCAAAAAUUUCUGCAUUUAUCUGAAUAAACAUUUAUCAACUGCCAGUUGUGUGCAAAAUACUAGAUGGUGAAGAUAAAAAGAUGGAAAAAAAUGAGAAAGAAAAACUCCAGUCUGUCCUCAGGGAACUUAUGUUUUUCUAGAAAAGAUACGGUCUUUCGAAGACAAAUUCUAGGUUCUGCUGAUGGAGAGAAGGAAUUGACAACUCAGAAUCACAGCGUCUCAAAGAUGGAAGAGUACUCUGAACAUCCAGCAUGAUCCUUAGUGGAACAAGAAUACUCUACAACCUCCCUGUGCCUGUGUGAAAGAGGAAUUGAGAAAGCAUGCAAAAGCCAGAGGGAAGUCAUGCAGCAAGACAAGAAGCAAUGGCUGGAGGUUGAUCAGCUGUCAAUCAAAGGAAGAUUCCAUUUGGAAUGUUACCAGGAAACAGUUGAAGGCAAGAACCAACUGCUAACUGAUUUCUGGGCUUCUUGGCUGAUGGUGGUGACUUUGAAGGAAGAAGCUGGGUUUAUCUCUGGGACAUGGGAUAAUCAAGCUGGAGUUGGCCUGGUGACUUUGAAGGCAGAAGAAGAAGGACAAUAGUCCACUUAUCUCUCUCAGACUUGCUCUGUUUCAUGGUAGUGACUGAAUUGCCAUUUCUCUCAAUAUCUUCCAACCCAAGACUCACUGUAGAUAAUAGGAAAACCCCCAACCCUCUUACCUCCAUCCUCCAUCUUUUCCUGUUUUCCCCAAUAAACUUCUACUUGAGAUAAAGAAGAGAAAAGAGUAUUUCCUCUGAAACAUCAUAGCCCACCCUGAGUGACUUAGAAGGAGGCUGAAGAAGAAAGGGGAAGGGGAAGGAGAGAGAGGCUGAAGAGGCUGGAAGAGGGAGAAAGGGAGAUAUAGAGGGAGGAGGGUAGGCAAAAGAAGAUAACUACCUAAUCCAUCAGUUAUCACUUACCCAUCAAAUAUACUCCCUCCAAUAUUAUCUAUUACAAUUUGGCACCUCAGACUGUCUGGACUUUACAAUCUCCAAAAAACUAACAGCAAGAUGUUUAAGCAAGUGCUCUGUGCUGGCUGCCAUUAUGGCUUACUGGAUCUAUAACAUUCUAUACAGUAAAAUGACCACCAUGAUUGUAGACUUGGUGGAAUACCUUGGUAACACCACAAUACUCAUACUACAGUGCCCAUUCCAAAAAGAAACUAUCCUCUGGCACAUUAUGACUCAAGUUUAUAUCAUUUCCAUGGCUGCCAUACGGACACUGACUUAUUUGAAGAACAUCUAUAGAUUUCUGAUCCCUAAACAAACAACAAAGAUAAUGGUGGUGGAUACUAACUUGGAAAAAUAUUAUUAAGAAUAUGUUUGAGGAAUUUAUGAAGGCAAAAAGGGUAGACCAGAUUAAGGACAAGAACAAUGGCCAGACAGAUAGUGCACCCAAAGAGAAAGACAGAAAGGCAAAGAAA